AUUGAACGCUGGCGGCAGGCCUAACACAUGCAAGUCGAGCGGAUGACGGGAGCUUGCUCCUUGAUUCAGCGGCGGACGGGUGAGUAAUGCCUAGGAAUCUGCCUGGUAGUGGGGGACAACGUUUCGAAAGGAACGCUAAUACCGCAUACGUCCUACGGGAGAAAGCAGGGGACCUUCGGGCCUUGCGCUAUCAGAUGAGCCUAGGUCGGAUUAGCUAGUAGGUGAGGUAAUGGCUCACCUAGGCGACGAUCCGUAACUGGUCUGAGAGGAUGAUCGGUGACACUGGAACUGGGAAACGGUCCAGACGCCUACGGGAGGCAGCAGUGGGGAAUAUUGGACAGUGGGCGAAAGCCUGAUCCAGCCAUGCCGCGUGUGUGAAGAAGGUCUUCGGAUUGUAAAGCACUUUAAGUUGGGAGGAAGGGCAGUAAGCUAAUACCUUGCUGUUUUGACGUUACCGACAGAAUAAGCACCGGCUAACUCUGUGCCAGCCGCCGCAGUAAGAC
rnacentral:rRNA from 1 species